ensembl:lncRNA
AGCACAUGGGCAGAGCGGCCCGCACCGCUCCGCUCCGCGCCGCUCCGCUCGGCCCCGCCGCCGCCGGACCCCCGGCCGGGGAUUGGGAGGGGGGGGGCGCGGUCCCAGCCAUGUGCCUUCAACCACUCUGGAGAAAUGUUGGGAGGAGCUCUCAGUGCGAUCCUUUCCAUACCUUCCAAGGAUUUUUAGGAUCGUGGGAUUUAUGGACCUGCAAAAUCCUCUGGAGAACAUCAGCCACCGACAAAACCAUCUGGAAAUUCCUGCUGUCUUUUUGCCCUGUCUUUCCUGAGUCACCGAGUCUUGGGAAGGAAGCAUCUCUGCUCUGAGGAUUACAGCAAAUCAGUUGCUUGCCGUCCUUACUGGAAUACCUUCCCUUUCAGUUGCUCAGAACAUAGCAAUUACUGAAGAAGGCAGAAGGAUAUUUUUUCCCUUUCACCGAGCUUUUGCAGCGCAGCAGUGGCUGUGUCCGGCUAUGUAGAUGGUUUCCACAUUCUCUACCCAAUUUCUUUUCCUGAUGUUUAGGAACUGAAUCAUUCUGUUUCCCUACUAGCCUCUGCUAAAGGUCUCGCUUGACUGCAAAAAGGAGAAAGGAGGAGUGUGUGCAGGGAGUUCAGGUCCUGCUGUGGCUUCUUGGGAGGUGAGGUUCAUCCACUCUUUGGAUUAUGAAGUUUGACGGGCUGUGAUUUGUCUUGGAUUUACAUUAUUUGGAAAGACAUUCUGAACUCUCUGCACUGCCCCCACCACGGACUGUUGGAACUGGCUGGUGUUAAGUGUUUAUUUCCAGUCACACAAGGAGACCGGAUAGAGUUGGCUACUUUGUAGAAGUAAUCAAAAUCAAUGCUGUGUUGCUGUCAGAAGUGCUUAAAGGGAGAAAAGCCCGGAGUAUUUCUCUCAUUUUGGAGAGAUGGAUUUUGCUUGGAAGAGUGCACAAGAUACAGGAGGAAAAAGACGUGAUCCUGCAGACCUGCAUCCUCACCUCUGCAGCGGGACUGAGGCUUCAAAAGAUUUAUCUGGAAAGUAUGAGCAGCGAGAGAAGCUUCAUCACCAUUAGAUAAGUAUUACAGAUGACUCAUGCUAGAAUAUCGAUAGCUGUGCAGCUGACAUGAAUAUAUUUGUACCAAGAGCCGGGAACCUUAACCCACCCUGUGCUUUCCCACUAACACACUUUGGUUCUCUAGCACCUUUUACCCCCUAAUUUGUACACCUAGACAGCUCACAGAAGUGUUUUUGCCUCCUUGAGGGGUUACAGGGUACAGGAUAGCUCAUGUCACUUGAAACCAAAUUACAAGAUGUCGUCUUAAAAUGAAAGCUGGUGAUGAAUGGCUUCAGUGUUGUAGCUGUUCUCCACGCCAACCUGCAGUUUGUCUUUUUAAUAGAGGCAGUUAAUGGCUUUCCUCGAUUCUUUGUUGUUUUUGUUUGUUUUCUUUCCAGAAUCAUUGACUCCUUUUCCAGCACAACAACUCCAAAAGUCCAGAACAGGUAAGACAGCUGCUGUUUUGGGGUGCUCCAUUUGAUUCAUUAAAGACAAAAUGCUGGCUACAGUAUAGGCAGCAUGAAAAAAAAAGACACUGACUUGACUGCAGUGAGAAUAACACCCACCAUGCUUGGGCCCAUCUGAGCAUGGGCAGUGAUUGUAUUUGGGGAAGAAUGAACAGACUUGCAGAAGCCAUGGUCCUGGGCCCCCUGCUCUGAGUGUCCUAGCUUGGGCAGAGGUCAGACCAGAUGGACCCACAGGUCCCUGCCUACUUCACCCAUUCUGCAAUUCUGUGUAGGUAGCACUUGGCAGGAGCUUCUGGGGAGGUAUCAGUCCCUGUCUCCAUUAGCUGGACGUGAGUAGUCAACUUGGAGGGGUACAAAGAGAAGUCAAAAGGAGACAUUUGGAUGAGAAGUGCUGCGGAGAGGGAUGUGCCUGUGAUGAUAAAGUGUGCAAGGCCCUGUGUCAACUCCUGUACUCAUGGCUCAGCCUACUGAAGAAGCUUGUUUUCCAUGAGGAUGCUGCACAGUGACCCUGUGCAGCUCAACACAAGCAGAGUGUUCACUUUUGCCAUCAGCAAGCUGAGACUGGAGCUGCAGCAAAGCACAUCAGGUGCUGCAGUUGUUUUGGCAGUGACGGAGAAUCAGAGCACUCUGUGUAGAGAAGUCUUGUUUGAGGAUCUGUUCUUGUGUCCUGAUGACAUGACUGAUGCUUUCCUAUGCUCAUUGCAAGCACUGAUGCAGGAUUCACAUUACAAGGUAAGUUUUACUGAGGUCUGUACGGAAGCUUUCAUUUGUGCAGACUGCACGCAGUAAAGAGCUGUGUCCUGCAUAUGUGGCAAAAAUAAACUGUGUUGCAGCUGGCUCUGGGAACAACUGCAGUCACAGAAGCCCUUGUUUGACAGCUUAUCUAUCAUCACAGGGUCAGCUAGAUCCCUUGCCAGUAAAGCAGAAAAUGCCCUGAAGACCUUCUCCAUUUAGACUCUGUAUCAGAUAUUCGCUUGGCGUGGACUGAUCUCAUGACAGAAUUGUCCUUAGUGACAACCUGGCAUUGCUCUCUGGGGAAAGAACAGGAGUUUAGCUCUCUGGGAUUGUGUGCCAUCCACCAGGAUAGGUUCUGUGGGAGUUUUAAUGGCAUAGUCUUCCACUUAAGGCAUGUCCUCCUUCUAUACUAUGCUUAAAAAAAAAUAAAAAACCUACCCUGACGAAUGCUCUUAAUCCCCACUCUGUUGGAUGCUCAGUGGAAACACUUCUGGGGCAGAGAAACGAAAGUGCCAGCCCUGCCCUGCUCACCUUGAGCUGUUCCCUGGGGUGAGGCUCACAGCUCAGCCGUGGGACCCGGUGUUUCCCCCACGCAGCCCUGGCUGUGCGCAUUCAAAGUGAGCACCCGGCCGUGUCGCCUUGCUGCGAGCAGGGCUGGGAGGUGCACGGGGCUUUCCAGCCACACAGGCCAAUAUUAGUAAGUGGGUUUGUGCAUGUGCCUCUUGAUUCAAGUUGUGAACUGCCUGCAGGCUCUAAAAAUUGCUGCUCAGCCUCGUAAAUAAUACACUUGCAAAGAGUUUCCGAGAAGCGUAAUAACUUCCCUAAAUAUAUUUAUUUUACGUCUUUAUGUCCUCAGAUGUGUGUGUGUGCUGAGUGUUUGCUGUACUCCAAAGAGGAUGCUUCUCUUGCUCUUGUUUGAUAACUGCAAGCAGGCAGCGGAUGAGGAUAAGGAGUUUGCUACUGGAGUUUUUUCCUUUUUCUCUGACUGGGGAGGCAAAUUUUGGGGUGUCUUCCUGUGGGUUGGUAGGUAGGUAGGGCAGUGUGAAUGAGUUGCAUGGUAACUUCCAGAUCAUGCCAGCUCUGCAAUUUAAUUGGGAAGUGCAUAUCCCAGGGCACCUGUAGUCCAAAUAGGCUUUUAAAUCACACAGGUAAUUUUAAAAAAGAUCAUUAAGCUCCUGAGUUACUCAGUAAUGUCUACAAGUGUUACUGCAAAUGGCUCAUGAAGCACUCGCAGUCUCUAACUAACUUCUGCCAGUGGUAAGUGCAUUAUUAGGAGAAAAUUGGCUGCCCAUGUGGCGUGAGUCUUGGGGUGUUUUGCUGAGGUGCUGUAGCUGAACUGAACUCACCUGCCUCCAUGCUCUGAUAACCCUCCUUGGGUGAAAUGCAUCUCAGUGAAGUGGUGUAAGAUGCUGCUGCUCCAAUUUCCUGCUGCACAAAGCUGCUAUCCUCAGAGACAGGGGCAUUUACACCUUAUCCAUUGCUUCCUACUAACACAAAGCCAUCUUCUGUUAGUAGGAGAGCUGAAGCAUGAGGAGAGGAUGCCAAAAUUUGAUAGGUCUACUCUGCCUCCCCUUGCUGUGGAUAGGGGAUUGAUCUCUAGCAACACAGCAAGGACAGUGACAUCUCCGCGGCUGGAUACAGAGCACAAGGAUUAUGGGGGGCUUCUAAGGAGACAUGUUACUUGAGGCAGUGUAGGGGAGGAAGAGGUGAAUACCAUUCUGUUUCCAUAAAUUUGAAUUAGUUUUGAGUCAAAGAUUUCUUUGGAUAUUGGCUCAAUGCUUCCAUAAUUUAAAAUGUUGUCAUUUUUGUCUGAUUUAAUGACAGGUAGUACCUAAGAAUAGAUUCCCGGGUGUUUUAUCAUGUCUGGGCAAAUCGUGCUGUUCAAGUGUCACAAGAUGCUUUGUUGAAGCCACAGUGGUCUGCUGUGAACGGUCUGCUCGGCGGCCAUCUACUUUGAGAAGCAAACCACAUACACCUGAAGUGUAUCUUAAAGUGUUAGCUGGGAAAACCUGGCAAUGUAGAAAGGCAGCAGAGGAAUAUUGGGCACUUUUUUCAAAGAAAAGUGACAGGCUCAAAGUCUACCCUGAACAGCACAUCAUCCUCUAGGUAGAAGACCCGUGUGAAAACCCCAUUAUCACUUCUGCUCCUCCUUGCAGUAUCUCCAAGGUUUUUGCUGUAUUGCUGUCAAUAUGGCACAGAAAUGCUUGUUGUCUACAGUCAGUCACUGUGGAAAGGGCCUUGUGAAAUUCAAGAUGCUCCUUGCAGUGAAGGAGCACACUGAGAGGGUGCUGUGAGGUUUCUUCUCAACUUGUUUUCAGCAGAGGCAAAGUCCCCUACUCAUGUUUUCCUCUUUGACAUGAGGCUCCUGGGAGGUCAACCACCAUUCUCAGACACUUGGUCAGUUAAUGGGACAAACUCAAGGCCCUUCACAAGUUGUUAAUGGAAUUCCCAUUGCUUCCUGCAGGAGCUCAUAGUUCCCAAAUAGGACAUAUUGGUUUGGGGCUCUGAAAUGUGCACACGUGAACAGGAGGGAAGCAUAAAUGUGCACCUCCAUCCCUCUAGUGAAAAUUAACAGGGAAGACUUUUGUCAACUUCUAGAAUCGCAUGGCUGGGAUGCAUUCCCCUGCAGCCAACUCAGGGGAAGGUGACACUAAAGCAACAACUAUGG